AAGAAAAAUCCAGAGCUAGCCAUUAUAUCAGGAACUAAGAAGCCAGUCACUGUGCUCUGGAGAGAGAAAUUGCACAUUUGACACGCAAUCGCUUUGUGUAGGAAACAUUACUUCUGAAGAGAAUGAUAUCUGGUGUGUUCUUUAAAGUACAACAUUGGACAAACAAAAGAAAAUGGAGCUAAAUUAUUAUUGAUCACCCAGGAGUCCCUCUGAGCUUGCAGAA
rnacentral:lncRNA from 1 species